GGUUAGAGGAUCCUUGAAGAAGAGUAAGAGCGUCGCUGAUGAGACCUCCGUUGACAGUGAGAAGCUUCCCUAUGUCCACGUUCGAGUUCGUCGAGGUCAAGCCACAGAUAGCCAUAGCUUGGCAGAAAGGGCUAGGAGAGAGAAGAUCAAUGCUCGCAUGAAGCUUUUACAAGAGCUGGUCCCAGGCUGCGACAAG
rnacentral:sRNA from 1 species